rnacentral:rRNA from 1 species
GAUGAACGCUGGCGGCGUGCCUAAUACAUGCAAGUCGAGCGAACGGACGAGAAGCUUGCUUCUCUGAUGUUAGCGGCGGACGGGUGAGUAACACGUGGAUAACCUACCUAUAAGACUGGGAUAACUUCGGGAAACCGGAGCUAAUACCGGAUAAUAUUUUGAACCGCAUGGUUCAAAAGUGAAAGACGGUCUUGCUGUCACUUAUAGAUGGAUCCGCGCUGCAUUAGAUAGUUGGUAAGGUAACGGCUUACCAAGGCAACGAUGCAUAGCCGACCUGAGAGGGUGAGCGGCCACACUGGAACUGAGACACGGUCCAGACUCCUACGGGACGCAGCAGUAGGGAAUCUUCCGCAAUGGGCGAAAGCCUGACGGAGCACCGCCGCGUGAGGGAUGAAGGUCUUCGGAUCGUAAAACUCUGUUAUUAGGGAAGAACAUAUGUGUAAGAAACUGUGAACAGCUUGACGGUACCGAAUCAAAAAGCAACGGCUAACUACGUG